rnacentral:rRNA from 1 species
UACUCCUACGGGAGGCAGCAGGGGGGAAUUUUGGACAAUGGACGCAAGUCUGAUCCAGCAAUGCCGCGUGCAGGACGAAGGCCUUCGGGUUGUAAACUGCUUUUGUACAGAACGAAAAGGCUCUGGUUAAUACCUGGGGCUCAUGACGGUACUGUAAGAAUAAGCACCGGCUAACUACGUGCCAGCAGCCGCGGUAA